rnacentral:lncRNA from 1 species
CCCAAGAAGAAGAAGAAAAAGAAAGGCGGCCACCGGAGAAGCCGGUGAGAGGACGCAGGGCCGGAGCGGGUGGGAGAGGCCCGAGAGGAGAGGUCCCUGGCGUGCUGGUCCUCGCCCGGCAGGGGGCAGCACGGAAGCUGCACGUAUGAGCCCCGCCCCCGUCUCGGCCCUUCCCCUUGAUUCCCCGCCCCUCAAUUUAGUGCCCCCCUCAGCUCCUCCCUUCCGGAAGUCCCGCCCCUCGGCAAGCCCCUCCUCUUUACCAAGGCCCCUCCCCUCAUGGAGCCCCAGAACUGGACGCCCUGAGCGACCCCUUCGUUACCACACCAGGGUUUCUGCACUCACUAUCACAAGUGUGAGUGCCCCCUAGAGGGGCUUUGAAGGGUCUCAUCUGUAAGACUCUGUCUCAUCCCUGUGUUCCCCUCCCCUGUCUUGAGUGAGACCCCAGGGCCCCAACUAAUUCUGCCCAACUAUCUGUCCUUCUUCCUCCCUGGCAUUCACCGUCAGCAAAAAGAGGAGACUAGAGUCAGAGUGCAGCUGUGGGAGCACCUCACCUCUGCGCAAGAAGAAAAAGAGCAUGAAGAAGCACCGCCGAAACAGGUCCAAUUCUGGGUCCCGGAGGAAGAGACGGCACAGAUCUCGAAGCCCCAAGAGCAAAAGAAAAGAGAAGAACAAAGAGAGGAAGAGGCCUCUCACAGAGUCCCCAGGCCAGAGGUCCCACCGGCACAGCAGCGGCAGUUCCCACAGCCCCUCGCUGUCCUCCCACUACAGUGACUCCGGAUCACCCAGCAGGCUGAGCCCCAAGCGCCGAGACGAUGGGCGGAAGACGGGCAGCCAGCGGUCCAGCGGGAGCCGGUCGCCUUCCCCGUCGGGCGGCAGCGGAUGGGGGUCUCCCCAGCAGAACGGCGGCAGCAGGCAGUGGAGCGGAGCGCACAGGGGCCGCCCGGGCCUGGCGCACAGCCCGCCCGAUGUACGUACGCUUCGCUUUGCGGAGGGUUCCCGCGCCGAGCAGGAGGGUGGGUCGCCGGAGGGGCCGGGUCGCUUCCUCCUCCCCUGCGCCCGCCGCUCACAGGGGAGUCGCCAGGAGGGCUCGGUUGUUUGUGCCCACCUGGCCCUAGACGCAAGGUGAGGGGGGCCUACAGGCUUGAGCCACCCUCGAGCUUGGCCAACUGAAGGCCAGAGAGGGGCUAACCACGGGGAUGCUUAGUUGGGUACUGAGCUGGGAAGGGACCAAGGUCGUCUCCUGCCUUCCCCCCGCGGGCACAUUAGGGGGAGCUGGACGUGGACAUCGGUGGGAGACGCAGUCAGGAACUGGAGUCAAAAGACAGGGGCUCCCUUGGGCGCCACGGGGUCCUGAGCCUUCUUCUCCCCAAGUCCUUGCUCCUCCUCUGAGACCCUCCCCUCUCCCACCCUCCUACUGGCCCCUCCCCCUUUCCCAGGUCCCCUCCCCCAUCUGAAUCCCCGCCGUGCGGAAGAGCUAUUUCUAUUUCUCGCUCCCCGGAGAAUCCGUCCUGUCCCGGGCGCGCACUGCCCUCACUUGGACAGACCUCUCAGCCCUGGCGCUCCACUUCCCACGGCCCUUGCCUCCGAGAGGACCACUCUGUGUGUCCACUCCCAUCUAGGCCGGGUUGGGAGUUCCACACCCACACCGCCCCCAAAACUGUCCCACCCACCCUCCGGGAGGGCGUUACCUCGAGCUACAGGCAGGUGGUGACCAAGAGCUGGUGGUGGAAGGGGGCUGCUCAGCCUUUCCCCGGGCUGCUGGUCGCACGGUGAGGAUUCAAUUUGCAGACCCCUUCCGUCUGCUAAUCGCGGGGUGCAGGAUUGAGGCCCUCAGACGGGGCGCUGCAGAGCUGGCAGGGGCGCUGGCUGGAUUUAGGGACUUGGGAUGGAGGGGCUGGCAGGUUCCUCUCCAGGCCUCCAGAUUGUCCCCAGAAGCCUCAGCCAGGAGGGGAGAGCCGCCCCUCCCAGAAUUUAGGUCACAGCAGUGGACGUAUACAUGCUGGUCAGUUUCAUUUUGAUUUUUGGCUGUUUCCUUUCACUCCCUUUCUUUUCUCAAAUAUCCUUACUCCCGUGGCCUCAGAGAGGAAAGUCAAGGGCAGCUGACAAAAGGUUCUGGUCUCAAGGUUAAUCUUAAUUGGAGGACAUUGUCCAUUUGGACAGGGUGCCAGUCCCUGGGGUGGCUCCUGGCUCCAGGGACAAUGGUUGGGCCACAUGAGGAGGCUCACACUAAUGUCCCAGGUCCGUCUUGGGGGUAGGAGUGGGCAUACAGGAUAGCUGAGGACGGCCGUGGCAUGGGCUGGUGCCACAGGCUCCGGAGCGGAUGAGCAAACCCAGAAGAGAGUGUGGUGACCCCCACUCACCUGGGCACAGAGCCCUGAGGUCACAGAAGCCCAAACACCUCUUGAGCAUCCCACCCUCCUGGGGCCUCCAGAGACUGCAGGUUCUCUUAGCCAGGGUGGGGAUUAAGUUCCUUCCCUGACCCCGGGGGUUUGAGCAACUACCCUCUCCGUGGAUAAUCUGUCCUUUCCCUGGCACUGCCCUUGCUUGGACAGGUGUCACAAAACUACUGUUCCAGGGCCGGGCAUUUAGCUCAGUGGUUGCUGCGCCUGCCUUGAAAGCACAAGGUCCUGAGUUCAAUCCCCACUACCCAAAAAAGCUACUGUUCCAACAAGGGACUUGCACAUGUGCAGACAAAGACUACAGCAUCUAGGCAGAUGUUCCUUUAGUGAGUCUGUGGGCCAGAGGACUUAGCCCCCAGCCUCCCAAAAUGGGGGACCCUACUGUGACGUAGCCCUGGGAGUUUUCCAGGAAAUAGCACUCUGUUACUCCUUUCUCCAGGCCUUGGCUCUAAAUCAUA